rnacentral:lncRNA from 1 species
GAGUCAGCCUAGCCUUCUCACCCUUUUAUAACAAGCCAGGACUACCUGACUGUUGCUAGGUAACUGUUGGGCGGAGCGUAGAAGGAAUACCAACAACAGGUAAGCCAUUACAACAGUCUUGAGAAGACAGGAAAGGCAGCCUAGGACAACCGAACCUCAUGCUUGUCAGCACUUAGCUCCAGCGGCAACCGGAGCUAUGAGAGUACUGAGGACCAGACAAGAGGAUAGAAUCGAUACUUGGCCUAUAGAUGGAGGAAGAGCAAAGCCCAUGGUUCUCAACUGAGUCUGACUUGAAUCUCUAACAACUUGGGGAGCAGCUGAGAAGGUCCCAGGGCUCUGGGCUACUUUCAGGUAUCCUAUCAGUGGAUGCUCAGAGUGAUUCAGCUCCUAAUUGAUCGGGCCACUGCUACAGUUCCAAGCUCAUUUCAUAGGUAGAAGAAACAGUCUCACCUGGCUGCGAUUGGAUCAAGAUGCAGAACUCUCAGCUCCUUCACCAGUACCAUAUCUGCCUACAUGCUGCUAUGUUCCCUGCUAUUGAUGAUAUUGGACCAGACCUGAAACUGCAAGCCAACCUCAAUUAAAUCUUGUUCUUUAUAAGAGUUGCCUUGGUCAUGGUGUCUCUUCCCAGCAAUGGGAACCCUAACUAAUCCACCAUAGAUCACAUGCUUAGUAACCUCGCCUGGGACACUUCUAACUCUGCCAUUCUGUUUCAAUUAGCUCAGUUCAAGU